rnacentral:rRNA from 1 species
GAUGAACGCUGGCGGCGUGCCUAAUACAUGCAAGUCGAGCGAACGGACGAUAAGCUUGCUUCUCUGCUGUUAGCGGCGGACGGGUGAGUAACACGUGGAUAACCUACUUCUAAUACUGGGAUAACUUCGUGAAACCGGUUCUAAUACCGCAUCAUAUUUUGAACCGCAUGGUUCAAAAGUGAUAGACGGUCUUGCUGUUACUUAUAGAUGGAUCCGCGCUGCAUUAGCUAGUUGGUAAGGUAACGGCUUACCAAGGCGACGAUGCAUAGCCGACCUGAGAGGGUGAUCGGCCACACUGGAACUGAGACACGGUCCAGACUCCUACGGGAGGCAGCAGUAGGGAAUCUUCCGCAAUGGGCGAAAGCCUGACGGAGCAACGCCGCGUGAGUGAUGAAGGUCUUCGGAUCGUAAAACUCUGUUAUUAGGGAAGAACAGAUGUGUAAGUAACUGUGCACAUCUUGACGGUACCUAAUCAGAAAGCCACGGCUAACUACGUG